rfam:Aedes albopictus isolate Foshan contig104057, whole genome shotgun sequence.
CGUUCUGUGGCUUAGUUGGUUGAAGCGCCGGACCAGCGAUACGGAGUCGUGGGUUCGAACCGUACCAAAACAA